rnacentral:rRNA from 1 species
UACGAAGGUGGCAAGCGUUGUUCGGAUUCACUGGGCGUACAGGGAGCGUAGGCGGUUAUGUAAGCCCUUCGUGAAAUCUCCGGGCUUAACCCGGAAAGUGCGGGGGGAACUGCUUGGCUAGAGGAUGGGAGAGGAGCGCGGAAUUCCCGGUGUAGCGGUGAAAUGCGUAGAGAUCGGGAGGAAGGCCGGUGGCGCAGGCGGCGCUCUGGAACAUUUCUGCCGCUGAGCCUCGAAAGCGGGGGGCGCAAACAGG